UACGGAGGGUGCGAGCGUUGUCCGGAAUCACUGGGCGUAAAGGGCGCGUAGGCGGCAGGCCAGGCGUGCGGUGAAAGUCCGGGGCUCAACCCCGGAUCUGCCGUGCGGACUGGUUUGCUAGAGCACUGUAGAGGCGAGUGGAAUUCCGGGUGUAGCGGUGGAAUGCGUAGAGAUCCGGAAGAACACCGGUGGCGAAGGCGGCUCGCUGGGCAGUGGCUGACGCUGAGGCGCGACAGCGUGGGGAGCAAACAGG
rnacentral:rRNA from 1 species